UAGGGAAUCUUCGGCAAUGGGGGCAACCCUGACCGAGCAACGCCGCGUGAGUGAUGAAGGUUUUCGGAUCGUAAAGCUCUGUUGUAAGAGAAGAACGUGUGUGAGAGUGGAAAGUUCACACAGUGACGGUAACUUACCAGAAAGGGACGGCUAACUACGUGCCAG
rnacentral:rRNA from 1 species